AUGACAGAGGGCAUCUUCAUAGCAACUCUGCACAUAACUAGAGCCCACCCCCCACACACCUUGGGAAAGAAAAGACCACAGGUGUCAACAUGUGUUGGAAAAGUUAUUAGAAUUCUGCCUUCAAUCCAUCACAAACCUACAGAUACACAUAUUAAAAUCUGGAAUGAGAUCCAUCGAAAUGUCAACAGUGGUACACCUGAAUUGCACAAUCCAAGUCCAGCCACUGUACAGCGCAAUGAAUGGGAGAAUGAAGGAAGAGAGGAGUCGAAAAUGAACACAGUGUGUCUGACGUGGGCAACUGUUAAGUAGUGGUGCUAUUUACAGAAAGAGGGCACAGAGGGAAGAAGAGAACAAGAAAGGUUCUCCAACCCCAGCUUUCAACUAAACUGUGAUAAGGAAAAUAACUCAACUUUGGAUGUUAUGCCACUGGAAUUCAAUUCAGAUUAACAAAGCUUGUCUCAACCUAUUCAGAGAUUUCAAGCUGGAAAUAAUGAAAUUGAAAACAUGCAUGACACGCCACGGAAGUGUUUUACCCCACCCCCCUCUCUCGCUUUUAAUCUGGAGAAAGGAAAAUGAAAGCUAACUCAUCAAGAUAACCUAAUCCCUCCUUGAAGAUACUACAGGAUGAUCUGUUCUGAAUUCUUCAUCUUUGG
rnacentral:lncRNA from 1 species